UGGAAGAAGGCAUUGAUGUGUCAGACGACGAGGCGCAAAGGUUUAGAGAUAACGAUGUACAACAUUGAAGGUACAGUUGAAGGUCCAGUGUCCCAAGCAAACCAGAGUUCUAUACCUUCUUGCCUGCAGUUAUUUCCAUUCCAAAAUUCCCACAAGAUGUCCAGAGUCGCUUGGAUCUCAAAGAACCAGUCCAGAAAGAACAGAAGUACCGAAACAAAAUAAUUGGGACUCUUUAUGAAAUGCUGUCACAGUACACAAUGUACCCAACCCACUCAGACUACAUCCAGGUCAUCAAAGCCCUGAUUGUGAAGUAUCCUUUCUUAAGAGAUGUACACGGAAAUGGUUAUGACACCUGGCACAGCCAACUCAAGAGAAAGUUCAAAGCAGAACGGGCUCCCCUAAUCAGCAACGAAGAAGUGAACCGGGUUAAAGAAAA